rnacentral:rRNA from 1 species
GACGAACCGUGCGAACGUUGUUCGGAAUCACUGGGCUUAAAGCGUGUGUAGGCGGAUCGUUAAGUACCUUGUGAAAUCCCACGGCUUAACCGUGGAACUGCUGGGUAUACUGGCGAUCUUGAGCCACCUAGGGGCAACCGGAACAAAUGGUGGAGCGGUGAAAUGCGUAGAUAUCAUUUGGAACGCCAAUGGUGAAAACAGGUUGCUGGGGGUGUGCUGACGCUGAGACACGAAAGCCAGGGGAGCGAACGGG